rnacentral:rRNA from 1 species
AAUGAACGCUGGCGGUAGGCCUAACACAUGCAAGUCGAGCGGACGCACAGUAAGCGCUUGCUCUUAAGGGUGGCGAGUGGCGGGCGGGUGACGAGUAGAUAGCAUUCUACUUAUUCGUGGGGGAUAACGGAGGACAAGUUACACUAACACAGCAUACAUCCAACCGCAGGGAGCAGUAGUGAAUCACAGUUUUGGCGACACAAAUAGACGAUGCCGGAUUAGAUAGUUGGCGGGGUAAAGGCACACCAAGGCAACGAUACGUAGCUGGUCUGAGAGGAUGAUCAGCCACACUGGAACUGAGACACGGUCCAGACUCCUACGGGAGGCAGCAGUGGGGAAUAUUCGACAAUGGGCGCAAGCCUGAUCGAGCCAUACCGCGUGAGUGAAGAAGGCCUUCGGGUUGUAAAGCCCUUUUGUUAGGAAAGAAAAAAAGCAGGUUAAUACCCCGAUGUUCUGACGGUACCUAAAGAGUAAGCAACGGCUAACUUCGUG